ACGCUUAGAGAGGAGCCCGCGGCCGAUUAGCUAGUUGGUGAGGUAAUGGCUCACCAAGGCGACGAUCGGUAUCCGGCCUGAGAGGGCGGACGGACACACUGGGACUGAGACACGGCCCAG
rnacentral:rRNA from 1 species